UAGCAUAUCAAUAAGCGGAGGAAAAGAAACCAACAGGGAUUGCCCUAGUAACGGCGAGUGAAGCGGCAACAGCUCAAAUUUGAAAUCUGGCUCUCUUUGGGGGUCCGAGUUGUAAUUUGCAGAGGAUGCUUUGGCAUUGGCGGCGUUCUAAGUUCCUUGGAACAGGACAUCACAGAGGGUGAGAAUCCCGUACGUGGUCGCCUGCCUUUGCCGUGUAAAGCUCCUUCGACGAGUCGAGUUGUUUGGGAAUGCAGCUCUAAAUGGGAGGUAAAUUUCUUCUAAAGCUAAAUACCGGCCAGAGACCGAUAGCGCACAAGUAGAGUGAUCGAAAGAUGAAAAGUACUUUGGAAAGAGAGUCAAAAAGCACGUGAAAUUGUUGAAAGGGAAGCGCUUGCAGCCAGACUURCCCGCAGUUGCUCACCUAGGCUUUGGCCUGGGGCACUCUUCUGCGGGCAGGCCAGCAUCAGUUUGGGCGGUUGGAUAAAGGCCUCUGUCACGUAUCUCCCUCCGGGGUGACCUUAUAGGGGAGGCGUAAUGCAACCAGCCCGGACUGAGGUCCGCGCAUCUGCUAGGAUGCUGGCGUAAUGGCUGUAAGCGGCCCGUCUUGAAACACGGACCAAGGAGUCUAACAUCUAUGCGAGUGUUUGGGUGUCAAGCCCGGGCGCGCAAUGAAAGUGAACGGAGGUGGGAACCCUUUGGGUGCACCAUCGACCGAUCCUGAUGUCUUCGGAUGGAUUUGAGUAAGAGCAUAGCUGUUGGGACCCGAAAGAUGGUGAACUAUGCUUGAAUAGGGUGAAGCCAGAGGAAACUCUGGUGGAGGCUCGCAGCGGUUCUGACGUGCAAAUCGAUCGUCAAAUUUGGGCAUAGGGGCGAAAGACUAAUCGAACCC
rnacentral:rRNA from 1 species